CCCUAGCCCCGAUUGCAAUGAAAAAUCCCGCAAUGGAGCGGCGCAGCCUCGUCGUAAUGAGGAAUUGUAAUGAAAAGCGGGAAAAGCU
rnacentral:misc_RNA from 1 species